rnacentral:tRNA from 1 species
CAGAUGGAAGUCCAAAUGGCAGGAUGCCUAUUUUGGGUAUAGGAGGUUGUAGGUUCGAGUCCUACUCAUCUGA